CAGCACCACCGGCUCCGGAAUCACCACCACCAGCCUCCAUCCCCUGCCAGCUUUGGCAGCACCACCACCAGCACCGCCGGCCUCAGGACCAAGCCCACCACCUGCGGGCGUUGACGGAGGCGGGUGUGCGGCUCUGGCGCAGCUGAGCCGUCGACCGCCGGAGCCAAUCCGGCAGUCCGGCAUUUCAGCUGCCGCACACUCGCCCGUCACAGGAUCAGAGGCCUCCCGAGACAGCCAUCACGAUCAGCUGGUGUAGGCCAUCCACGACAGAUGAGUGCUAUACAAGCCUGCCUCCGCCGUGCUUGGAGAGCUGUCUCACCCAACGGCCGUUUGUGCCGCCACCAAUCGGCUGCGAGUA